AACUAGCUCCGAUUGUAACGGAAAUCCUUUUUGUAAGAAGCAAUGGAAAAAAAGCCAAGAACUUGCAAAAAGAUUGCAGCGGAAAGCGGGAUUUAGC
rnacentral:sRNA from 1 species